rnacentral:rRNA from 1 species
GAUGGCGUGCCUUUUGUAGAAUGAACCGGCGAGUUACGAUCCCGUGCGAGGUUAAGCUGAAGAGGCGGAGCCGCAGCGAAAGCGAGUCUGAAUAGGGCGUUUAGUACGUGGUCGUAGACCCGAAACCAGGUGAUCUACCCAUGUCCAGGGUGAAGUUCAGGUAACACUGAAUGGAGGCCCGAACCCACGCACGUUGAAAAGUGCGGGGAUGAGGUGUGGGUAGCGGAGAAAUUCCAAUCGAACCUGGAGAUAGCUGGUUCUCCCCGAAAUAGCUUUAGGGCUAGCCUUAAGUGUAAGAGUCUUGGAGGUAGAGCACUGAUUGGACUAGGGGUCCUCAUCGGAUUACCGAAUUCAGUCAAACUCCGAAUGCCAAUGACUUAUCCUUAGGAGUCAGACUGCGAGUGAUAAGAUCCGUAGUCAAAAGGGAAACAGCCCAGACCGCCAGCUAAGGUCCCAAAGUGUGUAUUAAGUGGAAAAGGAUGUGGAGUUGCUUAGACAACUAGGAUGUUGGCUUAGAAGCAGCCACCAUUUAAAGAGUGCGUAAUAGCUCACUAGUCGAGUGACUCUGCGCCGAAAAUGUACCGGGGCUAAAUACACCACCGAAGCUGCGGAUUGAUACCAAUGGUAUCAGUGGUAGGGGAGCGUUCUAAGGACAGUGAAGUCAGACCGGAAGGACUGGUGGAGUGCUUAGAAGUGAGAAUGCCGGUAUGAGUAGCGAAAGACGGGUGAGAAUCCCGUCCACCGAAUGCCUAAGGUUUCCUGAGGAAGGCUCGUCCGCUCAGGGUUAGUCAGGACCUAAGCCGAGGCCGACAGGCGUAGGCGAUGGACAACAGGUUGAUAUUCCUGUACCACCUCUUUAUCGUUUGAGCAAUGGAGGGACGCAGAAGGAUAGAAGAAGCGUGCGAUUGGUUGUGCACGUCCAAGCAGUUAGGCUGAUAAGUAGGCAAAUCCGCUUAUCGUGAAGGCUGAGCUGUGAUGGGGAAGCUCCUUAUGGAGCGAAGUCUUUGAUUCCCCGCUGCCAAGAAAAGCUUCUAGCGAGAUAAAAGGUGCCUGUACCGCAAACCGACACAGGUAGGCGAGGAGAGAAUCCUAAGGUGUGCGAGAGAACUCUGGUUAAGGAACUCGGCAAAAUGACCCCGUAACUUCGGGAGAAGGGGUGCUUUCUUAACGGAAAGCCGCAGUGAAUAGGCCCAAGCGACUGUUUAGCAAAAACACAGCUCUCUGCGAAGCCGUAAGGCGAAGUAUAGGGGGUGACACCUGCCCGGUGCUGGAAGGUUAAGGAGAGGGGUUAGCGUAAGCGAAGCUCUGAACUGAAGCCCCAGUAAACGGCGGCCGUAACUAUAACGGUCCUAAGGUAGCGAAAUUCCUUGUCGGGUAAGUUCCGACCCGCACGAAAGGUGUAACGAUUUGGGCACUGUCUCAACCAGAGACUCGGUGAAAUUAUAGUACCUGUGAAGAUGCAGGUUACCCGCGACAGGACGGAAAGACCCCGUGGAGCUUUACUGUAGCCUGAUAUUGAAUUUUGGUACAGUUUGUACAGGAUAGGCGGGAGCCUUUGAAACCGGAGCGCUAGCUUCGGUGGAGGCGCUGGUGGGAUACCGCCCUGACUGUAUUGAAAUUCUAACCUACGGGUCUUAUCGACCCGGGAGACAGUGUCAGGUGGGCAGUUUGACUGGGGCGG